GAUAACUGGCUUGUAGCGGCCAAGCGUUCAUAGCGACGUCGUUUUUUUUAUCCUUCGAUGUCGGCUCUUCCUAUCAUUGUGAUGCAGCUGUCGCCCGCUAACAGGGAACGUGAACUGGGUUUAGACCGUCGUGAAACAAAUU
rnacentral:ncRNA from 1 species